rnacentral:rRNA from 1 species
CCUACGGGUGGCAGCAGUGAGGAAUAUUGGUCAAUGGCCGGAAGGCUGAACCAGCCAUGCCGCGUGAAGGUCAGUGCCCUAUGGGCGUUAAACUUCUUUUGUGCGGGAGAAAUAAUGGUCACGUGUGGCCAGACGAGAGUACCGUACGAAUAAGAAUCGGCUAACCCCGUUCCAGCAGCCGAGGUAAUACGGGGGAUGCAAGCGUUAUCCGGAUUUAUUGGGUUUAAAGGGUGCGUAUGCUGUGCGGUAAGUCAGCGGGGAAAUGCCCUCGCUCAACGGGGUGAAGUGCCAUUGAUACUGCCUGGCUGGAAUGCGGAUGCCGUGGGAGGAAUGUGUGGUGUAGCGGUGAAAUGCAUAGAUAGCACACAGAACACCGAUUGCGAAGGCAUCUCGCGAAUCCGCGAUUGACGCUGAUGCACGAAAGCGUGGGUAUCAAACAGGAUUAGAUACCCGAGUAGUC